AUGUUAUCACGGGAGACACACGGCGGGUGCUAACGUCCGUCGUGAAGAGGGAAACAACCCAGACCGCCAGCUAAGGUCCCAAAGUCAUGGUUAAGUGGGAAACGAUGUGGGAAGGCCCAGACAGCCAGGAUGUUGGCUUAGAAGCAGCCAUCAUUUAAAGAAAGCGUAAUAGCUCACUGGUCGAGUCGGCCUGCGCGGAAGAUGUAACGGGGCUAAACCAUGCACCGAAGCUGCGGCAGCGAUAUGAAAAUAUUGUUGGGUAGGGGAGCGUUCUGUAAGCCUGUGAAGGUGUGUCGUGAGGCAUGCUGGAGGUAUCAGAAGUGCGAAUGCUGACAUAAGUAACGAUAAAGCGGGUGAAAAGCCCGCUCGCCGGAAGACCAAGGGUUCCUGUCCAACGUUAAUCGGGGCAGGGUGAGUCGACCCCUAAGGCGAGGCCGAAAGGCGUAGUCGAUGGGAAACGGGUUAAUAUUCCCGUACUUGGUGUUACUGCGAAGGGGGGAC
rnacentral:rRNA from 1 species